rnacentral:rRNA from 1 species
AUGGUUUAUCUCAGAUGUGUAAAGGGAAAUAUAUUUGUUGACCCAAAAAUCACACUACACUGUUGCAAUUUCUCUGUCGAAAAGGUGCUGGAGGUACCAUGCAAGCAAGCAAGGCGACCGCGAUCAUGCUGCAGUGGCUGGGUAUAUCCCCUCCCGCUAGCUGAGGAUGGGCUCGAUGAUGGUGCUCCUACCCUUACACAUGUAUAUUCCCACAUUGAACUCGAUUAUUGCAAUAAUUGGGUUGAUUUGGACAUACUGUGCCUUGAAUGA